rnacentral:rRNA from 1 species
AACGAACGUUGGCGGCGUGGAUUAGGCAUGCAAGUCGCACGAGAAAGGUUUCGCAAGAGACCGAGUAAAGUGGCGGACGGGUGAGUAAUGCAUGGAUAACUUGCCCUUGAGAUGGGGAUAACAGUUCGAAAGGAUUGCUAAUACCCAGUGUCGUCGUGCUGCGAUGGUGGCACGAUGAAAGGAGGCCUCUGACUCAAGCUUCCGCUCAACGGAGAGGUUCAUGUCCUAUUAGCUAGUUGGUGAGGUAAUGGCUCACCAAGGCUGCGAU